UUUAUAUGAUGAAAAAAAAUUAAUCAGUUCUGCUUCUGAACUUUCAUGUUGAUAACCAAUAUACCAAAACUUUUCUGAUCC
rnacentral:snoRNA from 15 species